rnacentral:piRNA from 1 species
UAUGAAUUUUGCUCUAUAAGC